GACGAACGCUGGCGGCGUGCUUAACACAUGCAAGUCGAACGGUGAAGCUCCAGCUUGCUGGAGUGGAUCAGUGGCGAACGGGUGAGUAACACGUGAGCAACCUGCCCCUGACUCUGGAAUAAGCGCUGGAAACGGCGUCUAAUACUGGAUACGAGAAGGGUCCGCAUGGGCACUUUCUGGAAAGUUUUUCGGUUGGGGAUGGGCUCGCGGCCUAUCAGCUUGUUGGUGAGGUAAUGGCUCACCAAGGCGACGACGGGUAGCCGGCCUGAGAGGGCGACCGGCCACACUGGGACUGAGACACGGCCCAGACUCCUACGGGAGGCAGCAGUGGGGAAUAUUGCACAAUGGGCGAAAGCCUGAUGCAGCGACGCCGCGUGAGGGAUGACGGCCUUCGGGUUGUAAACCUCUUUCAGCAGGGAAGAAGCGAAAGUGACGGUACCUGCAGAAGAAGCACCGGCUAUCUACGUG
rnacentral:rRNA from 1 species